rnacentral:rRNA from 1 species
GACGAACGCUGGCGGCGUGCUUAACACAUGCAAGUCGAACGAAGUGGCGAACGGGUGAGUAAUGUAUAGCUAAUCUGCCCUACAAUAGAGGACAACAGUUGGAAACGGCUGCUAAUACUCUAUAGGGUAGGAUGAGGCUAUAUUGUAUCAGCUAGUUGGUGAGGUAAUGGCUCACCAAGGCUAUGACGCAUAACUGGUCUGAGAGGCUGAUCAGGCACACGGGAACGGAGACACGGUCCAGACUCUACGGGAGGCAGCAGGAGGGAAUAUGGCUAAAUGGGGGAAACCCUGAAGCAGCAACGCCGCGUGGAGGAUGACACUUUUCGGAGCGUAAACUCCUUUUGUUAGGGAAGCGGUACCUAACGAAUAAGCACCGGCUAACUCCGUGCCAGCAGCCGCGGUAAUUC